UGGGGGCGCAGGGCGUUUCCUCUGGCGUCCGCCCCCCUCUCCUCCCCAGCAAUGGCACCUGGCCUCUCCUGUGGGGUCAGGACUUUGUCCAGCUUCCCUCUGGCAAGGUGUUCCCCUCCUCCGCCUGUGGCGUUCUGCUCCCCUGCCCCUGCCGCACUGCUCCUUGGCCCCUCAGGCCGUCCCCACCCGGCCAGCCCCAGUCCUCUCCCAGGGACCGACCUCCGGAGCCUGAGUGUCAGCGGCCGGCCCCCGCGCCAGCGGCUCAGGCUGUGGUGUCCAGGUGCAAGCCAGAGAUUACUCCAGGCUUGCAAGAGGCAUGCUGGUUUUAUAAAGUUUUCUCCACCUACUCCCGUACAUGAGCUGGGACCAUGGAAAAACUUCUCAGCCACUCAAGUAUCCAGAGAGGGCGAGGUAUCUUCUGUCUCUUCGUGAAGGUUCCAGACAGCCCUGUUUUGGGGAUGUCAGGUGACUGCGGUGAAGCUGUCAAUCUUAGACCUUGCUCCUGUUACCAUAGAGAUUGGUCAGGUGACUGAAGGCCAGCCAAUCACAGUUUCCCUGCUUAGGAAGGGCGGACUCUCAACGAGAAAGACAGUGACAUUAAGGGAAGCAGAUUACCGUUCCAGUGCAAAGGGCUGCCCUCACAACAGAUGAAGUCAAAAUCUCAAGACUACGUCUCAUUGAACCACUCCACACUUCCCGAACAAUGCUCCUGUUGGAGAGAACAAAGCCUAGGAUGGAACGCUUGCUAUUUCUGCUACCGAUAACCAUGAAUUAGAGCGAAGAGAGAAACAGGAGGUGACAGAAGACUUCAUCUGAGCUCCUGAACUGAGGGCAGCACCCACAACCACAUCAAUGUCAGAUCUUAGCAGCAUCUGUGACCUACACCACAGCUCAUGGCAAUGCUGGAUCCUUAAGCCACUGAGUGAUGCCAGGGAUUGAACCUGCAUCUUCAAGGAUACUAGUAAGAUUCGUUUC